UACCGUGAGUACUGUUAGGGGACGCUACUUAAGUGCUGUGAGCUAAACGUGUAUUCUGUGCCGUUUACAGGAAAGAUACACGGGAAUGGGUCGUUGCUGCGUUUGAGAUGCAUUGCUCUCGAACUUGUACCGCAUUUGUAAGUUUUGACGCGUUAAUUGAACAUGAUAAAGCCCGCGUUAAAAAUAACUAGCGGAGAACAGGAAAAGAGUGUGCAACUUCCUGUUGCUUCACAAUAAGAGCGACAGAUCGGCAUGAAGGACGAAAUGUCGGCGCGUGGAUCGCGAAAGGCCUUCGAUUUGACUCUCGACAACGAGGAUCACGACUUUGUAAUCCCCACAAUCAGCAUGAGAGACGCAGAGCAGUCGCACAAUUUUGUCAACAAGUGCGAGAAGCAAACGAGCUCGGCUCCGAAAAGACGUCGCCGAUGUCUUUCCCACUUCAGGACAGGCAGAGGACGAGCCGUGCCGCGUCCGCAACUUGCCGGUGCGUUAAGCGCCGAGAGGAAGUCCCGACCAUCUGCUUACUUGGCAGCGCCGCUGAGGC